ACCUUGGGCGACAUCUUUCCAAACCUCUCCGACGGUCGAGCUUCUGCAAUAUUUUCAAGUUCUAUCGACAGAUAAAUUCCCCCAGCUUCUUCCACAAGUGUCGAUCGGAUUCCCCAGAUGAACGAACUCCUGCCGCAUCUCCCCGGCUUCUCCAGUGAUAAGCUUCUUCGGUCGUCAAUCAGGCUACCCCAAGUGCUCUCUGGAUUCUACUAUCGACCGACCUCCUACAAGGGUCAACCGUUCUCC
rnacentral:lncRNA from 1 species